AUUGAACGCUAGCGGCAGGCUUAACACAUGCAAGUCGAGCGAGCGGCGGACGGGUGAGUAAUGUAUGGGACAAUGCAUGGUGGCGGGGGAUAACUACUGGAAAAGGUAGCUAAUACCGCAUACCAUCAGAUGUGCCCAGAUGGGAUUAGCUAGUAGGUGGGGUAAUGGCUCACCUAGGCGACGAUCCCUAGAUGGUCUGAGAGGAUGACCAGCCACACUGGAACUGAGACACGGUCCAGACUCCUACGUGAGGCAGCAGUGGGGAAUAUUGCACAAUGGGCGCAAGCCUGAUGCAGCCAUGCCGCGUGUGUGAAGAAGGCCUUCGGGUUGUAAAGCACUUUCAGCGAGGAGGCGUUACUCGCAGAAGAAGCACCGGCUAACUCCGUGCCAGCAGCCGCGGUAAUUC
rnacentral:rRNA from 1 species